rnacentral:rRNA from 1 species
GGCGGACGGGUGAGUAAUGUCUGGGAAACUGCCUGAUGGAGGGGGAUAACUACUGGAAACGGUAGCUAAUACCGCAUAACGUCGCAAGACCAAAGAGGGGGACCUUCGGGCCUCUUGCCAUCGGAUGUGCCCAGAUGGGAUUAGCUAGUAGGUGGGGUAACGGCUCACCUAGGCGACGAUCCCUAGCUGGUCUGAGAGGAUGACCAGCCACACUGGAACUGAGACACRGUGCAGACUCCUACGGAGGGCMGCAGSSKGAUCCWGCCMUMYSGCCUGWAUGCUGAUGCACCUCSGCCUCUUGAGUGCAGUAAUCCGUCGGGACGUAAAUCUCUUUCAUMCSUGUASUCAAUGACGGUACCUGMMGAAGAAGCMCCGGCUAACUCCGUGCCAGCAGCCGCGGUAAUACGKAGGGUGCAAGCGUUAAYCGGAAUUACUGGGCGUAAAGCGAACGCAGGACGGAGUGCAAGUCAGAUGUGAAAWCCCCCGGCUCAACUUGGGAACUGCAUUUGAUACUGUCAAGCUUGAGUCUCGUAGAGGGGGGUAGAAUUCCAGGUGUAGCGGUGAAAUGCGUAGAGAUCUGGAGGAAUACCGGUGGCGAAGGCGGCCCYCUGGACGRAGACUGACGCUCAGGUUCGAAAGCGUGGGGAGCAAACAGGAUUAGAUACCCUGGUAGUCCACGCCGUAAACGAUGWCGACUUGGUGGUGGUAMCCAUGGACUGUCGCUGCCGGCGCUAACGCAUUAAGUCGACCACCUGGGGAGUACGKUCGCAAGGAUAAAACUCAAAUGAAUUGACGGGGGCCCGCACAAGCGGUGGAGCAUGUGGUUUAAUUCGAUGCAACGCGAAGAACCUUACCUGGUCUUGACAUC